rnacentral:rRNA from 1 species
UAGGGAAUCUUCCACAAUGGACGCAAGUCUGAUGGAGCAACGCCGCGUGAGUGAAGAAGGUUUUCGGACCGUAAAGCUCUGUUGUUGGUGAAGAAGGAUAGAGGUAGUAACUGGCCUUUAUUUGACGGUAAUCAACCAGAAAGUCACGGCUAACUACGUGCCAGCAGCCGCGGUAAUACGUAGGUGGCAAGCGUUGUCCGGAUUUAUUGGGCGUAAAGCGAGCGCAGGCGGAAGAAUAAGUCUGAUGUGAAAGCCCUCGGCUUAACCGAGGAAUUGCAUCGGAAACUGUUUUU